rnacentral:lncRNA from 1 species
CGCGCAUUCGGUCCCAGCCACCGCUAACACUAGAAGCUGCUUACCCCCGCCCCCUCCACCCUACUCCUGGCGGCCUCAGGUUUGUGGGGCGUACGUAACUCGGGCGGGGAGGGUGAAGGUGGCAGACCCCCACUGCCCCACCCCCUACGGGGUGAGGCGGUCUAAGCUCGGGAAGCUGGGACACUGUUGUCUUCCUUUCCCCUGGGGAAGUUGGUAGAGUUUUCCCGACGGAGGACUCGGCGCAGAAACUUCCUCCGUCCUCCUCCCCCCCACCCCAUGCAGGCGACGCCGAGUGAGGCUGAGGCUGGGGGCGAAUCGCCGCAGAGCUGCGUGUCGGCGGCGCAUUCUGAUUGGACAGCGGGGAAGCCCGUCAGCCUGUUGGCCCCGCUGAUCCCGCCCCGUAGCGCAGGGCAGCCUUUAACCUUUAGCCCCAGUGGGCGCCAGCCACUCAGAUCGCUUCUUGUUGGUAUGUGUAGCGGCAGUGGCCGCCGGCGGAGCAGUCUGAGCCCGACGAUGAGGCCGGGGACGGGAGCUGAGCGUGGAGGCCUCAUGAUGGGGCACCCUGGCAUGCAUUAUGCCCCAAUGGGAAUGCACCCUAUGGGUCAGAGAGCGAAUAUGCCUCCUGUACCUCAUGGAAUGAUGCCGCAGAUGAUGCCCCCUAUGGGAGGGCCACCAAUGGGACAAAUGCCUGGAAUGAUGUCGUCAGUAAUGCCUGGAAUGAUGAUGUCUCAUAUGUCUCAGGCUUCCAUGCAGCCUGCCUUACCGCCAGGAGUAAAUAGUAUGGAUGUAGCAGCAGGU